rnacentral:rRNA from 1 species
AUUGAACGCUGGCGGCAGGCCUAACACAUGCAAGUCGAGCGAGCGGCGGACGGGUGAGUAAUGUCUGGGAAACUGCAUGAUGGAGGGGGAUAACUACUGGAAACGGUAGCUAAUACCGCAUACCAUCAGAUGUGCCCAGAUGGGAUUAGCUAGUAGGUGGGGUAACGUCUCACCUAGGCGACGAUCCCUAGCUUGUAUGAGAGGAUGACCAGCCACACUUGAACUGAGCCACGGUCCAGACUCCUACGGGAGGCAGCAGUGGGAAAUAUUGCACAAUGGGCGCAAGCCUUAUGCAGCCAGGCCGCGUGUGUGAAGAAGGCCUUCGGGUUUUAAAGCACUUUCAGCGGGGAGGCGUUACCCGCAGAAGAAGCACCGGCUAACUCCGUGCCAGCAGCCGCGGUAAUAC